GGAGGAAAAGAAACUAACAAGGAUUCCCCUAGUAACUGCGAGUGAAGCGGGAUGAGCUCAAAUUUAAAAUCUGGCGUCUCUGGCGUCCGAGUUGUAACCUAGAGAAGCGUUUUCAGCCGCCGGCCGUGGACAAGUCCCUUGGAACAGGGCGUCAUAGAGGGUGAGAAUCCCGUCCUUGCCACGACACCGUGUGUCUAUGUGAUACGCUCUCGAAGAGUCGAGUUGUUUGGGAAUGCAGCUCAAAAUGGGAGGUAUGUUCCUUCUAAAGCUAAAUAUUGGCGAGAGACCGAUAGCGAACAAGUACCGUGAGGGAAAGAUGAAAAGCACUUUGGAAAGAGAGUUAAACAGUACGUGAAAUUGCUAAAAGGGAAGCGCUUGAAGUCAGUCGCGUCUUUGGGGAUUCAGCCUUGACCGGUGCAUUUCCUCUUCGACGGGCCAACAUCGAUUUCCGCCGCGGGAAAAGGGCGCGAGGAAUGUGGCAGCCUCGGCUGUGUUAUAGCCUUGCGUCGUACGCCGUGGUGGGGAUCGAGGACCGCAGCUUCGGCUUAGGAUGUUGGCGUAAUGGCUUUAAGCGACCCGUCUU
rnacentral:rRNA from 1 species